rnacentral:misc_RNA from 1 species
AACAAGGCGUACCUGCGGACCUGCGGAGGGAUCAUUACUGAGUCACGUGCUCAAACAACCCUUCUGUGGACCUGAAAUAAAACCGUUGCCUCGGCGGGCGGUCCCCCCCAAACCAACCCCACGUGGUGGGUUAGGGGAGACCAGACAGUCCGGUACGCUUAAGGCGUCCGGCGCCAGCCGCUGGCUCCAAACAAUUAAACUCUAGUAAUCUUUACCUUCUGAAUUUCAAUAUUUAAAAAU